rnacentral:piRNA from 1 species
UGCAACAUGUAAGCUGACUAAGAAAUACGGU